rnacentral:lncRNA from 1 species
GGGAUUGCAAUUUGGAAUUCCAUUGAAGAAUGGGCCUUGUUGGGCCAAUGAGGAUUGGAUUUUUCUCUUAAGGUUUACAAAUGAGGUUGGUCUUUUGUGGUUGCAAAGAAUGAGGGGUGUGGUUUGUUGGGAGAAUUUCUGACUCCCCAACAUUUAAGAUCAUUACAACUUUGUGGUUGUGGAACAUAUAAGGCUGCUCUUGAUGCCCCAUAUAUGCUUUGUUCUGGUAAGUUAAUGAUUG